rnacentral:rRNA from 1 species
UACGUAGGGUGCGAGCGUUAAUCGGAAUUACUGGGCGUAAAGCGUGUGUAGGUGGUUAGAUAAGUUAGAUGUGAAAUCCCCGGGCUUAACCUGGGCAUUGCGUUUGAGACUGUUUAGCUUGAGUACUGUAGAGGAUAGUGGAAUUUCCAGUGUAGCGGUGAAAUGCGUAGAUAUUGGAAGGAACACCAGUGGCGAAGGCGACUAUCUGGACAGAUACUGACACUGAGACACGAAAGCGUGGGGAGCAAACAGG